rnacentral:rRNA from 1 species
UUUAUAAUGCGAUACUUGGUGUGAAUUGCAGAAUCCCGUGAACCAUSGAGUUUUUGACGCAGUUGCGCCCGAAGCCUUUUGGC